CCUACGGGUGGCUGCAGUGAGGAAUAUUGGUCAAUGGGCGUAAGCCUGAACCAGCCAAGUCGCGUGAGGGAUGAAGGUUCUAUGGAUCGUAAACCUCUUUUAUAAGGGAAUAAAGUGUGGGACGUGUCCUAUUUUGUAUGUACCUUAUGAAUAAGGAUCGGCUAACUCCGUGCCAGCAGCCGCGGUAAUACGGAGGAUCCGAGCGUUAUCCGGAUUUAUUGGGUUUAAAGGGUGCGUAGGCGGCCUUUUAAGUCAGCGGUGAAAGUCUGUGGCUCAACCUUGGAAUUGCCUUGAAAACUGGGGGGCUGGAGAAUGUUUGAGGCAGGCGGAAUGCGGGGUGUGGCGGUGAAAUGUUAGAUAUCACGCAGAACCCCGAUUGCGAAGGCAGCCUGCCAAGCCAUGACUGACGCUGAUGCACGAAAGCGUGGGGAUCAAACAGGAUUAGAUACCCUUGUAGUC
rnacentral:rRNA from 1 species